UCCUCCGUGUUAUUCCACCAUCUUUCGUUGCCCUAAAAUUCAACUCUUCCACAAUUGAAUUUCGACACCAUCUCGAGAAAACGCAAUUGUUAAAUUUCCAAAUGGAAUUCAAGCUCUAUCCUUCUUCGGUGUCAGGUUGAUUUUAUCUUAUACAAGAGAACUCUACUUUAGGAACGUCGGGCCUCAGUGGCACCCCACCACCUCGGUGGCAACCUGGAAGAUCGUUGCGGCAACGAUGGCUGGUAACCAGAACUACUCUGACGGUGGCACUGGCCAUGUAAAGAGUAGAUGUACGAAGCGAGGUCUAGGCAGUAAGCUUGGGAAAAGCUUACGACAAGAAGUGUUUGAGCAAAAACUAGUAUUUUUGCUUGUAUCUCUUAUAUGUAUGUCACGGGGAUAAAUCUGGGGUAGUUUAGUCUCGGCAUUUCAACUAUGUUUUAUUGUAUUUUGUCGUACCUAUAUGUUAAGAUAUUUGUGAAGUUUGUAAUGAAGUGAGAAAAACCGUGGUUCUGCCGUGUAUAUUGAGUCUGAUUUGAAACUCCUUUUACUGUUCAAUUUCGAUGCAUUUAGCUUUUAUAAAAUGUGUUAUCACCUCUUGUUCUUUUCA